AAUAUUGCACAAUGGGCGAAAGCCUGAUGCAGCGACGCCGCGUGAGGGAAGACGGCCUUCGGGUUGUAAACCUCUGUCCUCGGUGACGAAAAUGACGGUAGCCGAGGAGGAAGCCACGGCUAACUACGUGCCAGCAGCCGCGGUAAUACGUAGGUGGCGAGCGUUGUCCGGAAUUACUGGGUGUAAAGGGAGCGUAGGCGGGAGCGCAAGUUUACUGUUUAAUCUAUCGGCUCAACCGGUAUCAGCGGUAAAAACUGCGUUUCUUGAGUGAAGUAGAGGUAGGCGGAAUUCCUAGUGUAGCGGUGAAAUGCGUAGAGAUUAGGAGGAACACCAGUGGCGAAGGCGGCCUACUGGGCUUUAACUGACGCUGAGGCUCGAAAGCGUGGGGAGCAAAC
rnacentral:rRNA from 1 species